rnacentral:rRNA from 1 species
GAGUUUGAUCAUGGCUCAGGAUGAACGCUGGCGGCGUGCCUAACACAUGCAAGUCGAACGGAGUAUCUUAUAUAGACUUUCUUAGGAGAUGAAAUAUUAGAUACUUAGUGGCGGACGGGUGAGUAACGCGUGGGUAACCUACCUCAUACAGGGGGAUAACAACCGGAAACGGCUGCUAAAACCGCAUAACAAAGACUAAUCGCAUGAUUAAUCUUUCAAAUAUUUUAUAGGUAUGAGAUGGGCCCGCGUCUGAUUAGCUAGUUGGUGAGAUAAAAGCCCACCAAGGCGACGAUCAGUAGCCGGCUUGAGAGAGUGACCGGCCACAUUGGGACUGAGACACGGCCCAAACUCCUACGGGAGGCAGCAGUGGGGAAUAUUGCACAAUGGGGGAAACCCUGAUGCAGCGACGCCGCGUG